CACACACACACACACACACACGAUACAGGCUAGCCUUGUGGCUGGUGGAUCCCUGGGUAACAUCCUUAGUCCACAGGCCUCUUGUGCUUUGUGUUGGAGGGCAGGUCUGUGGGAGAUAUAAAAGAGCUUUGGCCACCAUGCCAGGCAUUAAGCUAGGAUGAACAAAGGACUACUGUCAACUGAACUGUCCCUGACUGAUAUAAGAACACCACCAACAAGGUCUCUUACUACAGCAA